UACAGAGGUCCCAAGCGUUGUUCGGAUUCACUGGGCGUAAAGGGUGCGCAGGUGGGUUGGCAAGUUCGAUGUGAAAGCCCCGGGCUUAACCCGGGAAUGGCAUUGGAUACUGCUGAUCUGGAGGAUCGGAGGGGGGACUGGAAUUCUUGGUGUAGCAGUGAAAUGCGUAGAUAUCAGGAAGAACACCCGUGGCGAAAGCGGCUCUCUGGAACGGUACUGACGCUGAGACGCGAAAGCGUGGGGAGCGAACAGG
rnacentral:rRNA from 1 species